AGACGUGUUCUCUUACGGUCUGGAGGGGAGGGUGGUCAGGAGGACAGAGGGUAACACCGAUGGCUCAGUCAUUGGUGGAAAUGCCUCGGCUGAAGGUCCUGAGGGUGAAGGCACAGG